AUGAUAUUAAAAUACACAUAUUUAAUUGCAAGAAAAAAAGAAAACAAUAUGAAAAUAAAAUAUAGUAGUAUACAUUCGUAUAUUCGCUUCAGACAAUAAGCUUUGGCCACUUUUUAAUGAAACAAAAAUGCAAACAAAAAACUGUAACUAUACAAGCAAACAAUGCAAGAAGUUUUAUUAUUUGCAAUUAAAUUUUCAGAACUGUAGAACGAGUUGAGCAGACGAAAACGGCAGAAAGAUUGAACAAAAUUGAACCCCCAGAAAGAAAACUCAAAUAAGUAGCGAACACAAAAAGAAACGAAUGAAAGAGGGGCAGGAAAAGAAAAACGUAAAAGGCGAGCGUUAAGCAUAAGAUAUACUUUGUGGAGGAAAAGGAAUAAUGUCUCCCAUAAACAAAAAGAAUAUAAAUAUAUAAAAAAUGUUUCAGAAUAUUUCCAACACUUUCGAAAUUGUAAUGGAAGCGUUACAGUGUUUUGUUUAAAGACGGUAAAUUAUAAAUAAAUUAUUUGAAAUAUGUACAUAUACCGCAAAUGCACUAACACGCUUAAAAUGCGAAAGCUCAACAUGUAUAUGUACAUAUGGUAUGUAGGUGUGUAUGAAAACUCUGUGCAAUCGCUAUGAAAGCGUUCAAUAUGUAUUUGUUUACAAUCUCGAAAGUGAUUUAGCAUUAGACAACGUCCAAAAUAUUUAUGUAGUUAUAUGUAAUACAGCUCUGAAAUUGUGCUAUUCACAUGCAAUAUUAAGCUAUAGGUUUUCCUAUACGACAUUUGAAAGCGCAAUUUCGGUGCAUUAACUGAGGAAUUAACAUUUUACUAACUUAAACUUAAAUGACCUGCGUUGAAAUCACUGCAUUUUUUCUUUUGAAACGAAUUGAAUAUUUUUGUCAACAAACUUUUUUCAGAAAACUCAAAUGCCCUUUUUUAAUGCCAACAUAUCAAACAAAUUUAAUAAUAGUUUUUAAAAAAAAAUUAAAUAGUUAAUAAAAUAAAUUUGUAAACUCGAAAGAGGUUCAUCAACAAUCCCAAGGAAUGACAUUGGUCAGGGAUGAUUUUGGGUGAUGACGAAUAUUAAAGUGUAAAGAAACUAGUGAUGAAUGUGCGUAGAAUGCUUAACUUUAUAAACUACAUAUAAUUAUUGAAUAUUAUAUACAUGAACUCAUAUACACAUGCAUACAUGUACACAUUUAGAUAUCAAAAGCUUUUCUGACAAAUUUAUCGCCAAUAUGUAGUAAAAUAAAGAAAAAAAAAAUAUUGUAAUUAAUAAGGAAAAACAAUUGUUAUGAGCAAAGCAUUCAAUCCAAAUAAAAACAAACGAAAUGACGAAACAAAGUGUAAUGUUGAUAAUGUAUAUUGUAUUUUCUGUACUUAAGAAGGGUAUAGCACUGUUUCUAAUUUACAAACAAAAAGCUAAAAAUUAAAACAAAAAAAUAUAUAUACAUAAAUAUUUUUUUAUUAUAACAGAAAGAUAAUGGCUUCAAUGUUUCUUUGGAUUAAACCAGCAAUAAAUACAUGCAC